rnacentral:rRNA from 1 species
UACGAGUGCCUCAAGCGUUAUCCGGAAUUAUUGGGCGUAAAGGGUGUGUAGGCGGUUUCGUUAGUCUUGUGUUAAAACCAGGAGCUCAACUUCUGAUAUGCACAGGAAACGGCAAAACUAGAGUGCGCGAGAGGUUUGCGGAACUCAUGGUGUAGGGGUGAAAUCCGUUGAUAUCAUGGGGAACACCAAAUGCGAAGGCAGCAAACUGGCGCGUCACUGACGCUGAAACACGAAAGCGUGGGUAGCGAAUGGG